rnacentral:rRNA from 1 species
AGAAUCAACGCUGGCGGCGUGCCUAACACAUGCAAGUCGAACGAGAAAGGGGAGCAAUCCCUGAGUAAAGUGGCGCACGGGUGAGUAACACGUGAAUUAUCUACCUUUGAGUGGGGAAUAGCUGAGGGAAACCUUAAUUAAUACCGCAUAAUACCUACGGGUCAAAGCCGAAAGGCGCUUAAAGAGGAGUUCGCGGCAGAUUAGUUAGUUGGCGGGGUAAUGGCCCACCAAGACGAUGAUCUGUAUCCGGCCUGAGAGGGCGCACGGACACACUGGAACUGAAACACGGUCCAGACUCCUACGGGAGGCAGCAGUGGGGAAUUUUGCGCAAUGGGGGAAACCCUGACGCAGCAACGCCGCGUGGAGGAUGAAGUAUCUCGGUACGUAAACUCCUUUCGAUAGGGAAGAUAAUGACGGUACCUAUAGAAGAAGCCCCGGCUAACUUCGUGCCAGCAGCCGC